rnacentral:rRNA from 1 species
GACGAACGCUGGCGGCGUGCUUAACACAUGCAAGUCGAACGGUGAAGCGCCUUCCUUUUUGGUGGGUGUGGAUGAGUGGCGAACGGGUGAGUAACACGUGAGUAACCUGCCCCCUUCUUCUGGAUAACCGCAUGAAAGUGUGGCUAAUACGGGAUAUUCUGGGUCUGUCGCAUGAUGGGUCUGGGAAAGUAAUGGUUUCGGGGGGGGAGGGGCCCGCGGCCUAUCGGCUUGUUGGUGGGGUGAUGGCCUACCAAGGCGGUGACGGGUAGCCGGCCUGAGAGGGUGGACGGUCACACUGGGACUGAGACACGGCCCAGACUCCUACGGGAGGCAGCAGUGGGGAAAAUUGCACAAUGGGCGCAAGCCUGAUGCAGCGACGCCGCGUGAGGGAUGGAGGCCUUCGGGUUGUGAACCUCUUUCGCCAGUGAAGCAGGCCUGCCUCGUUUGUGGGUGGGUUGACGGUAGCUGGAUAAGAAGCGCCGGCUAACUACGUG